UAGGGAUGGGCUGCUGCGUCAGUACAGUUUCACGCUCUGAUGAAAUAGGUGGCUGGGACGGGCGAAGCUAGACGUGUUCCUACUUUUUCCCGGAUAAAGUUUCGUGAAACAUCUAAGAGCAACGAGCAUGGAUCGGAAAGAACUUAUAGAGGUCCUAGAGGUCAUCUACGAGGUCGAUACGACAUGGCGUAACAUCAAAAACACGGUCAUGGGUACAGCUGCAGCGGCGACUUCCGUUUUUCUAGGCGGCCUUGUUGCUGGGCCUCCUGGAUUUCUUCUCGGCACGCUUGUAUCAUUAGCGGUAUAUAUGGACCACAAGGAGAAGAUGGUCUCGGUCGCAAAGAAACUCAGCAAAGAGCAAAAGGAGAAACUGAGAAAGAGACUACAGAAGCUUUUGAAAGACAUCAAUGAAAAGGAUAUGAAGAAGAUGGCUGACUACCUUCUUCAACAUCCAGAUUUACAUGAGCGCUUUAUGGAUAUAGUCCUGUCAUUCCUCAAACAGGAAAAAGAUUUCGAGUACGCCAGAGAAAAGAAUGGGCGGAAUUUGGUGGACGAGCUUCAGAGAGAUCCCCUGCCGCUAAUAUCCAGGCCCGUCAGCCAAAUACAUACUACACCACCCGUGCGAAUCGUAUACAAGGAGGCCAUGCAACCUAGGGUAAACGCCAUAAAACAACCCCAACCCCAAUAUGUUCCAUUCAAAUAUAUAUCCGCCCCCGCCCAAUUUGUUGAGAAAGAAAAAGUACGCGAACGUGCAAGAGCCCUCGUCAGAUAAUAAUUGCACUUAAUGCCCAGUUACCACUUGGUGACGCCGGACUUGAUGACACGGCAUGGUGACGUCGAGGGGGUUGGGGAGAGAGCACGUUUUUCUUUGUUGUUUGUUUCUCUUUGUUGUAUCUUUCAUUGUUAAUGUUUUUCUUGCUCUUACACGGAGCGUUUGCCGUUAUGUCUCACGGCUGGCGAGACUCCUCAGGAUAUUUCCUUCGUCCGCUCUCUUUUUAAUGUGUUCUGUUGACUCUAUAGCCAGUCAGUAUUUCUUCUCAUUUCGGUUCUACUGCAAUCACCACGUUCAAUUUUUAAUUACCUUAGCCAUGUAAGCAUGAGGGAAUCAAGGUGAUUCGAAAAAGCAACCAGGACAACGUUGAAAAACGAAACGACAGGGUCUGGACAUAUGUGACCUCGUUGGCAAGAGAACAUGAGUCGCGCGAUCACACGCAGGCAUCGUGAAGAAAGUUCGCCAUGUCAAACCUUCUUGGCUCGCGUCUCUCUUCUCAAAACGCCCGAUAGGUGCGUACACUUCUUCCGCCAGCAAGCGAUUUCGCGCUGGGCGUCACCAAAUGAGAUCUCUGCAUCACGCUUCUACCCUGUUCGAUGAAAGCAAGAUGAGACUGAAAGAUAACUGAAAUAAUACUAAGAAGAAAUAAUAUAAUAACUGAGAUAACUGAAAUAAGGUAACUGAAUAAGCUGAGUGCUCGGGUAUCGGCAGUGGGAAUCUCUAUGGUGUUCCAAAAAAAGUAAUGUCAUUUCUGCCUUUGGGGAAACCUUGUUGUUUAUGUAAUGCAUAAGUAAAUAAAAGCGUUGAUCAUGCAGUUGAA